rnacentral:rRNA from 1 species
GUCCACGCCCUAAACGAUGAUGACUAGUUGUUGGAGGAGUUAAAUCCUUUAGUAACGCAGCUAACGCGAGAAGUCAUCCGCCUGGGGAGUACGGUCGCAAGAUUAAAACUCAAAGGAAUUGACGGGGGCCCGCACAAGCGGUGGAUGAUGUGGUUUAAUUCGACGCAACGCGAAAACCUUACCUACCCUUGACAUGUACGGAACCUCGCAGAGAUGCGGGGGUGCCCGAAAGGGAGCCGUAACACAGGUGCUGCAUGGCUGUCGU